UUCAAGAAAAGGGCUCAGAGCCACUCCCUGAGGUGACGACAUCCAGCUAUUGUUCCUAAAUCACCUAAUUAUUACUCAUCAGACUGAGGGAGAACAAAACAAAGACUUGGAGAAGACUCACCAUAGGGAGCCAGGGAACAAAAGGAGAAGAAGAAGCGUUUAGCUGCAGAUGAAGAAGCGAGCUGGGAGUGAUGUGAAUAAGAGAACACCUCGCGCGCGGGGGGGGGGGGACGAGGG